rnacentral:misc_RNA from 1 species
GUAAAAUUGUUAUAUGACAAGUCCCUACAUCAUAACAGUCAAUUUAUAUAAUAAGACAAUAGUAAGUUAAUCAGUAGCAUGAGAAAGUUUGUUACACUUCAUAGAAGCGUGUAAACUACAAAAAAAUAAAGUAAACGCACAAAACACUAAUUUUUAUGUGGUUCACCCUCUCCAUAUAGGGCUACAUUCACAGGUAUGCCAUCUUCCACUAUAAUCAAUAUAAUAAUCAUUUACAAGCUCAAAGUUGACCACAAAUCAUCCCAAUUACACCUAAGAGAUCCUUUUACAAACUGUUCAUAGUAAAUAUUAAUAAUCAUUUACAAGCUCAAAGUUGACCACAAAUCAUCCCAAUUACACCUAAGAGAUCCUUUUACAAACUGUUCAUAGUAAAUAU